AUUCAUCUGAUGAAUGCUAAAUCGUACGAAACGCGCGUCCUGGAU
rnacentral:hammerhead_ribozyme from 1 species